AGGAGGCAGCAGUGAGGAAUAUUGGACAAUGGGCGCAAGCCUGAUCCAGCCACGCCGCGUGAGUGAUGAAGGCCUUCGGGUCGUAAAGCUCUGUGGGGAGGGACGAACCGCCGGUGGUUAAUACCCAUCGGCAUGACGGUACCUCCUUAGCAAGCACCGGCUAACUUCGUGCCAGCAGCCGCGGUAAUACGAAGGGUGCAAACGUUGCUCGGAAUCAUUGGGCGUAAAGCGCACGUAGGCGGCUUCGCAAGUCGGAUGUGAAAUCCCUCGGCUCAACCGAGGACGUGCAUCCGAAACUGCGGAGCUUGAGUAUGGAAGAGGGUCGCGGAAUUCCCGGUGUAGAGGUGAAAUUCGUAGAUAUCGGGAGGAACACCAGUGGCGAAGGCGGCGACCUGGGCCAAUACUGACGCUGAGGUGCGAAAGCGUGGGGAGCAAACAGGAUUAGAUACCCCAGUAGUCG
rnacentral:rRNA from 1 species